GAGUUUGAUCGUGGCUCAGGAUGAACGCUGGCGGCGUGCUUAACACAUGCAAGUCGAACGAAGCGCCUUAUUUGAUUUUCUUCGGAACUGAAGAUUUGGUGACUGAGUGGCGGACGGGUGAGUAACGCGUGGGUAACCUGCCCUGUACAGGGGGAUAACAAUCAGAAAUGACUGCUAAUACCGCAUAAGACCACAGCACCGCAUGGUGCAGGGGUAAAAACUCCGGUGGUACAGGAUGGACCCGCGUCUGAUUAGCUGGUUGGUGAGGUAACGGCUCACCAAGGCGACGAUCAGUAGCCGGCUUGAGAGAGUGAACGGCCACAUUGGGACUGAGACACGGCCCAAACUCCUACGGGAGGCAGCAGUGGGGAAUAUUGCACAAUGGGGGAAACCCUGAUGCAGCAACGCCGCGUGAGUGAAGAAGUAUUUCGGUAUGUAAAGCUCUAUCAGCAGGGAAGAAAGUGACGGUACCUGACCAAGAAGCCCCGGCUAACUACGUGCCAGCCGCCGCCGU
rnacentral:rRNA from 1 species